GACGAACGCUGGCGGCGUGCCUAACACAUGCAAGUCGAACGGGGCAGUCUCUUCGGAGACUGCUUAGUGGCGAACGGGUGAGUAACGCGUGAGAAACCUGCCUUUCAGUGGGGGACAACAGUUGGAAACGACUGCUAAUACCGCAUAAUGUUAUUUGGGGGCAUCCCUGAAUAACCAAAGCUUAAUGUGCUGAAAGAUGGUCUCGCGUCUGAUUAGCUAGAUGGCGGGGUAACGGCCCACCAUGGCGACGAUCAGUAGCCGGACUGAGAGGUUGGCCGGCCACAUUGGGACUGAGACACGGCCCAGACUCCUACGGGAGGCAGCAGUGGGGAAUAUUGGGCAAUGGGCGCAAGCCUGACCCAGCAACGCCGCGUGAAGGAAGAAGGCUUUCGGGUUGUAAACUUCUGUUUUAGUGAAGAAACAAAUGACGGUAGCUAAAGAGGAAGCCACGGCUAACUACGUG
rnacentral:rRNA from 1 species